GCAUUAGUGGAAUUUCCCGUUUGGUUGGUCCAUCUUAGGUGUGAUAAUUAUCUACGCUUUGCUUGGUUCAACUGUCAGGUGUGCUUAGGCUAGAUCCUGGUUGUGAUAUCGCAUUAAGUUGCUUUAUCUGAUUGUGGGAAAUUUAUCUGCUUUCUAACCGUCUGUUGUUUCAGACAAUUUAUUGACUAUUUGACCUCAAAUCAGGUAGGACUACCCGCUGAACUUAAGCAUAUCAAUAAGCGGAGGAAAAGAAACUAACAAGGAUUCCCCUAGUAACUGCGAGUGAAGAGGGAAAAGCUCAAAUUUAAAAUCUGGCAGUCUUUGAGAGUCCGAGUUGAAUUUAGAGAAGNUACCCGG
rnacentral:rRNA from 1 species